rnacentral:rRNA from 1 species
AUUGAACGCUGGCGGCAUGCCUUACACAUGCCAGUCGAACGGUAACGGGCCUUCGGGUGCCGACGAGUGGCGCACGGGUGAGUAAUACAUCGGAACGUGCCCGAUCGUGGGGGAUAACGAGGCGAAAGCUUUGCUAAUACCGCAUACGAUCUACGGAUGAAAGCAGGGGACCGCAAGGCCCUGCGCGGACGGAGCGGCCGAUGGCAGAUUAGGUAGUUGGUGGGGUAGAAGCUUACCAAGCCGACGAUCUGUAGCUGGUCUGAGAGGAUGAUCAGCCACACUGGGACUGGGACACGGCCCAGACUCCUACGGGAGGCAGCAGUGGGGAAUUUUGGACAAUGGGGGCAAGCCUGAUCCAGCCAUGCCGCGUGCAGGAUGAAGGCCUUCGGGUUGUAAACUGCUUUUGUACGGAACGAAAAGCCUUCUUUUAAUACAGGAGGGUCAUGACGGUACCGUAAGAAUAAGCACCGGCUAACUACGUG